UACAGAGGGUGCGAGCGUUAAUCGGAAUUACUGGGCGUAAAGCGCGCGUAGGCGGCUUUGCAAGUCGAGUGUGAAAUCCCCAGGCUUAACCUGGGAACUGCAUUCGAGACUGCAUAGCUAGAGUAUGGGAGAGGGAAGUGGAAUUUCAGGUGUAGCGGUGAAAUGCGUGGAUAUCUGAAGGAACAUCAGUGGCGAAAGCGACUUCCUGGACCAAUACUGACGCUCAUGUGCGAAAGCGUGGGGAGCAAACAGG
rnacentral:rRNA from 1 species